rnacentral:rRNA from 1 species
CCUACGGGGGGCUGCAGUGGGGAAUAUUGGACAAUGGGGGGAACCCUGAUCCAGCCAUGCCGCGUGUGUGAAGAAGGCCCUCGGGUUGUAAAGCACUUUCAGUGAGGAAGAACGCCUGGUGGUUAAUACCCAUCAGGAAAGACAUCACUCACAGAAGAAGCACCGGCUAACUCCGUGCCAGCAGCCGCGGUAAUACGGAGGGUGCUAGCGUUAAUCGGAAUUACUGGGCGUAAAGCGCGCGUAGGUGGCUUGAUAAGCCGGUUGUGAAAGCCCCGGGCUCAACCUGGGAACGGCAUCCGGAACUGUCAAGCUAGAGUGCAGGAGAGGAAGGUAGAAUUCCCGGUGUAGCGGUGAAAUGCGUAGAGAUCGGGAGGAAUACCAGUGGCGAAGGCGGCCUUCUGGACUGAAACUGACACUGAGGUGCGAAAGCGUGGGUAGCAAACAGGAUUAGAUACCCUAGUAGUC